rnacentral:lncRNA from 1 species
GCUGAGUUUUUCUCCAGCGGUUCAUCGAGUCCUCUGACAAAGCAAGGAGCCGAUAUAGGGCCAGUGGGACGGUCGCCAGUCAAGGGGCUGGGCUUGGUGGAAAGAUUAAUACUCACUGGACGUCCAGUCGAAACGCCCUGAAACCUAUGAUGCUGUCGACCAAACGUACUUGCUGGACUUGAAACAGAUGGAAGGUGAGCUCUGCCUAGGACACGCCCAGCCUCAGCUGGAGGAGAAGCUGCCUCUUUCUCAGCCUGAGCCCCCUGCUGGCUCUGUAGGACUCAGGUCACUCCUUUUUGGCCCCUCCCCUGUUCUCCCCCGGCCUCCUGGGGUGCAGAGCCACCCUGAGAUGGGGUCCUGCCCUCUCCCGCCAUCUUUUCACCCCCUCUCUAGCCCUGGUCUAGGUGAGCUCCUGCCUGGUCCUGCCUCCUGGGUAAUGUAUCAGCCUCGCCCACUGUCUGCGGCUGCCUCUCUGGGCCCCUGGGACAGACCCCACUGUGUCCAGUUCAUAAGAUGGAGUCUCGCUCUGUCACCAGGCUGGAGUGCAGUGGCACAAUCUCAGCUCACUGCAACCUCGACCUCCUGGGUUCAAGCGAUUCUCCUGGCUCAGCCCCCCGCCAUUCAUCCAUCCAUCUAUUCAUCUAUCCAUCCAUUCCAUCCAAUCAUCCAUUCAUCUAUCCAUUCAUUCUGUUACCGGAUGGUGCUGUGCAGUUACAGGCUCCUGGUGUCCUGAACAGAGAAUUUGAUGUGGCACACACAAAUAGCAAAGCAAGCAGCAAAAGUUUAUUAAGCACAGUAGCACUCUGAGAGAGGGGAGAGU